rnacentral:rRNA from 1 species
GAUGAACGCUGGCGGCGUGCCUAAUACAUGCAGGUCGAGCGAACGGACGAGAAGCUUGCUUCUCUGAUGUUAGCGGCGGACGGGUGAGUAACACGUGGAUAACCUACCUAUAAGACUGGGAUAACUUCGGGAAACCGGAGCUAAUACCGGAUAAUAUUUUGAACCGCAUGGUUCAAAAGUGAAAGACGGUCUUGCUGUCACUUAUAGAUGGAUCCGCGCUGCAUUAGCUAGUUGGUAAGGUAACGGCUUACCAAGGCAACGAUGCAUAGCCGACCUGAGAGGGUGAUCGGCCACACUGGAACUGGGACACGGUCCAGACUCCUACGGGAGGCAGCAGUAGGGAAUCUUCCGCAAUGGGCGAAAGCCUGACGGAGCAACGCCGCGUGAGUGAUGAAGGUCUUCGGAUCGUAAAACUCUGUUAUUAGGGAAGAACAUAUGUGUAAGUAACUGUGCACAUCUUGACGGUACCUAAUCAGAAAGCCACGGCUAACUACGUG